CACACUAUCAUUAACUGAAUCCAUAGGUUAAUGAGGCGAACCGGGGGAACUGAAACAUCUAAGUACCCCGAGGAAAAGAAAUCAACCGAGAUUCCCCCAGUAGCGGCGAGCGAACGGGGAGCAGCCCAGAGCCUGAAUCAGUGUGUGUGUUAGUGGAAGCGUCUGGAAAGGCGCGCGAUACAGGGUGACAGCCCCGUACACAAAAAUGCACAUGCUGUGAGCUCGAUGAGUAGGGCGGGACACGUGGUAUCCUGUCUGAAUAUGGGGGGACCAUCCUCCAAGGCUAAAUACUCCUGACUGACCGAUAGUGAACCAGUACCGUGAGGGAAAGGCGAAAAGAACCCCGGCGAGGGGAGUGAAAAAGAACCUGAAACCGUGUACGUACAAGCAGUGGGAGCACGCUUAGGCGUGUGACUGCGUACCUUUUGUAUAAUGGGUCAGCGACUUAUAUUCUGUAGCAAGGUUAACCGAAUAGGGGAGCCGAAGGGAAACCGAGUCUUAACUGGGCGUUAAGUUGCAGGGUAUAGACCCGAAACCCGGUGAUCUAGCCAUGGGCAGGUUGAAGGUUGGGUAACACUAACUGGAGGACCGAACCGACUAAUGUUGAAAAAUUAGCGGAUGACUUGUGGCUGGGGGUGAAAGGCCAAUCAAACCGGGAGAUAGCUGGUUCUCCCCGAAAGCUAUUUAGGUAGCGCCUCGUGAAUUCAUCUCCGGGGGUAGAGCACUGUUUCGGCAAGGGGGUCAUCCCGACUUACCAACCCGAUGCAAACUGCGAAUACCGGAGAAUGUUAUCACGGGAGACACACGGCGGGUGCUAACGUCCGUCGUGAAGAGGGAAACAACCCAGACCGCCAGCUAAGGUCCCAAAGUCAUGGUUAAGUGGGAAACGAUGUGGGAAGGCCCAGACAGCCAGGAUGUUGGCUUAGAAGCAGCCAUCAUUUAAAGAAAGCGUAAUAGCUCACUGGUCGAGUCGGCCUGCGCGGAAGAUGUAACGGGGCUAAACCAUGCACCGAAGCUGCGGCAGCGACGCUGAUGCGUUGUUGGGUAGGGGAGCGUUCUGUAAGCCUGCGAAGGUGUGCUGUGAGGCAUGCUGGAGGUAUCAGAAGUGCGAAUGCUGACAUAAGUAACGAUAAAGCGGGUGAAAAGCCCGCUCGCCGGAAGACCAAGGGUUCCUGUCCAACGUUAAUCGGGGCAGGGUGAGUCGACCCCUAAGGCGAGGCCGAAAGGCGUAGUCGAUGGGAAACAGGUUAAUAUUCCUGUACUUGGUGUUACUGCGAAGGGGGGACGGAGAAGGCUAUGUUGGCCGGGCGACGGUUGUCCCGGUUUAAGCGUGUAGGCUGGUUUUCCAGGCAAAUCCGGAAAAUCAAGGCUGAGGCGUGAUGACGAGGCACUACGGUGCUGAAGCAACAAAUGCCCUGCUUCCAGGAAAAGCCUCUAAGCAUCAGGUAACAUCAAAUCGUACCCCAAACCGACACAGGUGGUCAGGUAGAGAAUACCAAGGCGCUUGAGAGAACUCGGGUGAAGGAACUAGGCAAAAUGGUGCCGUAACUUCGGGAGAAGGCACGCUGAUA
rnacentral:rRNA from 1 species